AUACGUAGGUGACAAGCGUUAUCCGGAUUUACUGGGCGUAAAGGGCGUGUAGGCGGUCUUGCAAGUCAGAAGUGAAAUUCCUGAGCUCAACUCGGGCGCUGCUUCUGAAACUGCAGGACUUGAGUGCUGGAGGGGAUAGCGGAAUUCCUAGUGGAGCGGUAAAAUGCGCAGAUAUUAGUAAGAACACCGGUGGCGAAGGCGGCAAUCUGGACAGUAACUGACGCUGAGGCGCGAAAGCGUGGGGAGCAAACAGGAUUAGAUCCCCUGGUAGUCCACGCCGUAAACGAUGAAUACUAGGUGUAGGGGGUAUCGACUCCCUCUGUGCCGCAGUUAACACAAUAAGUAUUCCGCCUGGGGAGUACGGCCGCAAGGUUGAAACUCAAAUGAAUUGACGGGG
rnacentral:rRNA from 1 species